UGGACAGGUACUCGUCCAUGUUCACGAAGUACCUCUUCAGGCCUUUCUGCAUGCCGCCGCGCGCUCCUGCUGCUGCUGCUGCACCCUCCGAGCUCGAGGCGCAACGCCGCCAGAACCUUCAGACCUUCAGAGACGUGUUCAUCUGGAGGGUCAGACGGCUGCAGGACUUGAUCUCUGGACUCAGAAGAGGUUCUGCUGCUGGAGUUCUGACUGGAACCACACCGGUCCUGUCCGCUGUCUGUGACCCGGGCUUUCCAGCAGAUCUACUUUGAGUCUCUUCAUGGUCCAGCACCAAAGUCCAUCUCUGACGCGUUGGUCCCACAUGGACCGGAUCAGGAGUACCCCUUCUGUGGGGCCCACGGAUUCCCGAAUAAACACUAUUUUCAGUUGCAGAUGCAGAUAAAAUCUGGAUCUUCUUGAAAAUGUCAGACAAACUUCUGAGAUUUUCAAGUUCUUUGAGGUUCUAGAGAAAAUGGACACCAGCAGAAGUGGUUUCUGGUGUAAAACUAGACUUCAGCGAAUGCUCACGUGUUUUUCUACGAGUUCUCACACAGGAGUCAGGAGUUUUACUGCCGGUCUGUUUAACAAACGCCAUAAAUGAUCCUCAGAUCCAAAUCACUUAGGCGUGACCGACAGCGACACCUGGUGUGACAGAAACCCAGCAAAGCCCUGAGGUCUUCAAGAAGCGUGGACGAUCUGCCGGGGACCGCCCCAGAGACAACCACGCCCACUUCAGCAACAUCGACCUAUGAAGCGAGUCUUUGGACUGUGGGAGGAGG